CAAUCACUCAUGACUGAAUUACACUCCCUAAAGAUUUAUCUACCACCGACCGUGUGCAAUCACUUGAGGUGCUGUUCCUGACCACAUGCAGGAUACAAAGGUAAGAGUCACUCUCCCUCCAACGUCCAGGGCCCACCAUGCCGGGAAGAGGGGGAGGUGUGCUGGCAAACAAGAAAGAAUACACUGUAACAAGUGAGUGCAGGAGGGGAAGAGCAAGGGGAGAAGUUUAUUCCAUGGAAGCCCAUGCAGGGACUUGAGAGCCAUUUGCUGAGGUGAUACAGGAUCUAGACCUUGUAGAAGGAAUAGGGACUGGUGUACAAGUAUUCCACCUGCACAGCAUGAGCAAAGGCGCAGAGGUAUUAGGCACUAUAGUAGCAGGUAUAUCUGGAGAACGGCAGAUAGUCUGGCAUGGCUAGAAGAUGGGCAUGUGGGGAGGAGAGAGACGGAGGAGGACAAACUACUGGGAAUGGCAGAAUAUAUGUUUGGAAAUGCGGUCUGGAGGACCUUGACUUAAAGACUGUUCCGAAUGGAAAAGGUCUCUAUAAUCAUGAUAAGGAACUUCAAAUCAAUCUAACUUUGGGAGUUCCUGUUGUGGCUUAGUGGAAACGAAUCUGACUAGCAUCCCUGAUGACGCAGGUUCGACCCCUGGCCUUGCUCAGUGGGUUAAGGAUCCGGCAUUGCCCUGAGCUGUGGUGUAGGCCACAGACAGAGGCAGCUUGGAUCUGCUGUUGCUGUGGCUGUGGUGUAGGCCAGCAGCCACAGGUCCAACUCGACCCCUAGCCUGGGAACCUUUGCAUGCCGCAGGUGCGGCCCUAAAAAAGACAAAAAGAGGAAAAAAAAUCACUCUACUAAACAUCAAAGUUAAAAAGUACUAAUGAGCCCAAUAUCUGAUUUUAAUAAUAAACUCAGAAAGUCAAUGAGGGAGACCCUUGAAAGAUCAUAUCCCUGCCUUCAAGAAACAUAACCCUGGGGAGAAGGAUGGAGAUGGGACCUCCGAGGUAAAGGCAGAGGUGGGACAAAUCUCUUCCUGAAUAGGAGCAAUGCCCUUCCUUGCCAAAACUGCCUCUCAAACUUCUCUUCACCAGUCCCACAUGUGACCUGACCCGGAAUAAAGAUCCCUUUCUGCCCUCCUUUGCACAAGUAACAAUAAAAAUGUUGUGCCUGUCAACCAGCACGUUUAAUGCAGCAGCAGCACUUAAAUCUGCCUCUCAUUUUCCUACCACUUUCCUGAAAUUCCAGAGGACGGGGUUAUUGUUAAACAGCAGCAAGCAUUAUUCUCACAGCAGUGCACAUUAAUAAUAAUUCAGUGUGGUGUCAUGGAAGCCUGUAGGCUCUGAGCUGAAUUUAUUUGAAAAAUAAAGUUUGUUUUUUUUUUUUUUUUCCCUGAAGAUCUUUACUUAAGUCAGCAUGGAACUCUUGUAAAGAUAACUACCAAUAAGUCACAACUACCCAAGGAGCAGUCUUGUUAUUUUUUUAAUUCACUGCUCACCAUGACAACAUAAUAAACACACCUUUAGAGGCCCAUACAUGUCCAACUAUUGAAAAUGUCAUAGUUCCUCCUUCGUGGUGUUCCCAGGCUAGGGGUCGAAUCGGAGCUAUAGCCGCCAGCCUACGCCAGAGCCACAGCAACACUGGAUCCAAGCCGCGUCUGCAACCUACACCACAACUCACGGCAACACUGGAUCGUUAACCCACUGAGCAAGGGCAGGGACCGAACCCGCAACCUCAUGGUUCCCAGUCAGAUUCGUUAACCACUGUGCCACGACUAGAACUCCCUUCAACUGAUUCUUUUGAUUUCCUGAAAUUCUAGUAAAACAUCAAUGUUCAACUGCAAGCUACUAGAAAUAAUUUUGUGAUAAAUUGGCAACACAGGCUUUAUUUCAUAAUCCACUAAUAAUUACUGAGCUCCUUGUUCACUUUAAAAAAAAAAGCAGCAAACCAUCAAACCAAUAUGGUUUUGGCAUCUGUUUUUUCAAUUUUUGUUGAGAGUUCUCUUAGAUGUUCCUAUAUCCUUUCAUAAAUGACUAAUAGGAAAGAUACAAGACUAAUAAGAAACAUAACUUUAUGUAACUUCAUUGACGGUUGGUUUCAGUUAACAGCUGGUCUUUAAACUACCCAACAUAAAAGCAUACAUUUUAGGGGGAAAAAAAACCAACCCCAAAACUGCUUCAUAAAAUCAAGUAUUUCAUUUUUCAAAGCUUUAGGAUUAUUCGAGAGGCUAGAGUACUAAAAAGUCUCUAGAGUUGGUUUUUUUAAAAGUUAAAAGUUUCCACCUUUAAAUAGCAGAGACUAGAGAUUUUACUAUACAAUAAGUGUCAGAAAUAAAAUACAAUUCCCUUCAAAGCCAUAUUUAAAAAAAAAAAAA
rnacentral:lncRNA from 9 species